rnacentral:piRNA from 1 species
UCUCAAAAAAAAAAGAGUUAA